CUGGCUUAUGGCUCAUGUUGAGCCACUCGUACUCAGAUCCUACCUAAGUAACAAAGUCUAAGAUUAAGUUAAGGAACAAAAUGAUCCGUACCCACUAAUAUGACUCAUACCCGUAAGUCGUAUCCAUUCCAGUAACAAAAAUCCAUCCUGCCAACCAAUACUGGCUAGCAUAUGACAAGACCAUACAAUUCGUAUCCCAUCAUAUGGCUCAUUCCCAUCAGUCGUAUUGGGUCUAGAAACUAGAAUUCUAGGAAAUUUUCUAAAGGUCAAAACCUAGGGUGUUAUAGUC
rnacentral:lncRNA from 1 species